rnacentral:rRNA from 1 species
UACGUAGGCAGCAAGCGUUGUUCGGAGUUACUGGGCGUAAAGGGUGCGUAGGCGGUCCUAUAAGUAUGGUGUGAAAUCUCCCGGCUUAACUGGGAGGGUGCGCUAUAGACUGUGGGACUAGAGUGUGGGAGAGGAAAGUGGAAUUCCUGGUGUAGCGGUGAAAUGCGUAGAUAUCAGGAGGAACACCUGCGGUGUAGACGGCUUACUGGACCAUAACUGACGCUGAGGCACGAAAGCGUGGGUAGCAAACAGG